UACGUAGGGGGCGAGCGUUGUCCGAAGUUACUGGGCGUAAAGCGCGCGUAGGCGGUCGAUUAAGUCUGGGGUGAAAGGUUCAGCGCUCAACGCGAACAGUGCCUUGGAUACUGGUUGACUUGAGUUGGGGAGGGGGAAGUGGAAUUCCGGGUGUAGCGGUGAAAUGCGUAGAUAUCAGGAGGAACACCGGUGGCGAAGGCGGCUCUCUGGACCACAACUGACGCUGAGGCGCGAAAGCUAGGGGAGCAAACAGG
rnacentral:rRNA from 1 species